rnacentral:tmRNA from 1 species
GGGGCCGAUCGGUUUUGACAGCAGGUGGAAUUGAAAAGUAAGCACGUCGAGCGCUCAUACACAGCUCGUUAAUAUCAUGAAUGAACUUUUUUUACACGGCGAAGAAAACUACGCUUUAGCUGCUUAAUUCUGAAUUAUAGUAAGAUCAAGCCUUUGUCCUAUUAGAUAGGAAAGCUGAAUUCCUUAAAAAAGCCUUGAUUUAUGGCGUUUUGUAAUAAGGAACCGUAAAAAUAAAUCUAGGGUAGAUAGCACCUCGGAAGUUACCCGAAAUUUUAAGAGGUUAAGGGUAAAGUGGCUGUUUUUGGCAAAGCUUUACAACGAAAAUUUAAACAAAAACUAAACGUGUAGAAAGCUCUUUGAUUGCUUGUUUGGACCAGGGUUCGAUUCCCUGCGGCUCCACAG